UUGUUUCUGUUUACAGAUUCAGUGAAGUGAGUUGCAUUCUUAAUACAUUAAUUACCAACCUCUGUAUAUAAAUAAGAACCUGCAACAAUCACCAUCACAGAUUUGAACAAACUGAUCACUACGUUUUCCAGAAGAAACCAAACAACUGCCGCCAUGUUGAAGUUCGUGCUGAUAUUGUGUCUUCUGGUUUCAGUUGCACCACUCGUCAAUGCUGUAUGCAGUCCUUCGUAUCGGGGUAUGUCCUGUUGUAACUCGAACUCGUGCCCAGCUGGUACCACGAAGGUUGGAUCAUGUUGGGAAGGGAGUGCCGCCUGCCAGGAUGAUAGCCGUUAACAACAAAACCGAAGAACGACAGCAGAUUCUGAUUACGAGAAGUUCCAUUUAAUUUCGUUACCUGGAUGAAAAAUUGCGACUGACUUUCAUUCCUGAACAAAUAUACAUUAUGAAGACCUGGUGUUAUCCUCACGUUAAUGAUUAUAAAGAAGCUGUCUGUUCUUCCUGAAUAAAUAAACUACUUCUCAAAUA